rnacentral:tRNA from 1 species
GCGGAUAUGGCGGAAUUGGCAGACGCGCCAGAUUUAGGUUCUGGUGGGAGACCGUGCAGGUUCGAUUCCUGUUAUCCGCAGCA